rnacentral:rRNA from 1 species
GAUGAACGCUAGCGGCAGGCUUAAUACAUGCAAGGCGAAGGGCAGCAGUGUCACUGUCGUACGGGUGCGUAACGCGUAUGCAACCUACCUAUCACUGAGGGAUAGCCCGGGGAAACCCGGAUUAAUACCGCAUAAACAGGGGCACCGCAUGGUGAUAUAUGUUAAAGAUUUAUUGGUGAUAGAUGGGCAUGCGUUCGAUUAGCUAGUUGGCGGGGUAACGGCCCACCAAGGCGACGAUCGAUAGGGAGCUGAGAGGUUGGAUCCCCCGACCACACGGGCACUGAGAUACGGGCCCGACUCCUACGGAGGCAGCAGUAGGGAAUAUUGGGCAAUGGAUGCAAGUCUGACCCAGCCAUGCCGCGUGCCGGAUGAAGGCCCUCAGGGUUGU